CGGGCGGGAGGGGAGGGAGGGGCCGAGCUCGGAGCUGAGUGGAAGCGGCCAAGCUCCCCGGGCCGGGCCCGCCGUCAGCACGUCACGUCACUGCCCGAGAGAGCCCAGGAGCAGGCGGAAGGGAGCGCGCCGCCACCGCCGCCUCGGGCCGCCCGCCCGCGGGGGCCGGUGCGGCCGAGCGGGCCGGGGGCCUGUGCGGGGCGGGCGAGGCGGCGGUCGGGGCGGCGGGGCGGGGGCGGCGCGGCGGCGCUCGGUCCCGCGGCUCCUCCUGCCGCCGCCUCCGCCGCGGCUCGGCCGCGCUGCGCCGCCCGGGGCUCGGCGUGCGCCCGCGGAGCACAGAGGUGCCCCGGGACCCCCUCCCCACCCGACCCCUCCAUACCGGGCGAGACCCCCCCCGCGCGCCGCCAGGCCCGCGGCCCGGCCCGGCCCCAGAGUGCGGGCCGGAGGCUCCGCGCCCCCGCCGCGGGCUUGGAGUGGGGUCUGCGCGGCGGGCAGCGGUUUUUAGGGUGUGGGGACUCCGCUCUGGGGUGGACGCGGGUCACCCCGGCGCGGGGCGCGGCUCCCGGCCGGAAUUGCCGGGAACCACAAGGACAGCGGAAAGCAGCGGGGUGCGGUGCCGGACCCCCGGUCCCCACGGAGAACACGGACGGCGCUCCGCGGGGGUCACUGGCACUCACGUAACAGCAGAACCGGGGCGGUUGGGAGGUGGUGGUUCGCAUUUUGGGGAUUAUGGAAAAUUGGAAGUAAUUUGGCGUUUAAACCUAAGGCCUGUCUAGAGUUGUUUUCUCAUCCUUGUCAUAAAAGUUAAUAAGAAUUUUCUUUUUUUUUUUUUUUUUUUUUUUUUAAGGAGAGAGUUGCUGUUGAUCCAUGAAAGAUGCACCCUAAAGUUUUCGAGGCAUUAGAAAUUAGAGAAAAGAAAAAGAAGAAGAAAGAGAAAAAGAAAAGAAGAAAAGAAAAAGAAGAAAGAGAAAAAAGGAUGAGAAAAAUGAAAAGAAAAAAGAUAAAGAAAAGAAAGGAAAAGAAGAAAAGAGGAGAAAAAGGAGAAAAAUAAAAGGAAAGAAAAGAUGAAACAAAAGGAAAGGAAAAAAGUAAGAGAAGAGUUUUUUAAAUUGAAAAGCUAUAUAAAAAAAACUUGAAAACAGAUCUUUAAAAAGCAGGGUGGUCCUUGUGUUGAACAGGAGUACCUUGCAUCCUGUGGAGAACUGGUAAGUUAUUUGUUUGCAUUAAAAUCUCUGACAUGUCUUGGUUUACAAAUAUUCAGUAGGCUUCUUAAUCCUUAGUUGUACUUAGUUGUUAAAGGAAGGCUUUCCCAGGCAAUUUUGUUUCUAGUCAUCCUGAUUUCCGUUGUGCAAGUUUAAAGGUAUUUUUAAUUAGGACAGUUAAUUAUUUAUUCUACAAUUUCAAAUAACAGCUCUUAGUUUGAACUCUCAUUGGUUGCGGGGGGGGGGGGGGGCGGACAUUAAAAAAUCCAUUAUUUCCUCCAUAAAUUUCAUUUACCUUAUUUGCCCAUUAAUCAAAAAUACAGCCUAGAGUUGUUGGCGUGUACAUGUAACAAAGGUAAAAGGACUGGUAAAUGUUCAACCUGACACAGUGUUAGAAGUCAGCACUGAUGGAUCUUGAAAAAGAAAGGGUAGAGAAGACUCGGAGUUCCUUUCCUCGGCUGGUGGGGCUGUAGAUGGCCCUGAGGGUUAUCUGCUUCGGUGACUGUAUGAGCAUUGUGUUUUGAAACAGAAACAGCCCCUCCCUGUUUCUCUAGUAAAUCCUUUAACAAGAGAGCAAGACAUUACAAACCAAAGCAUUACACAGAGAGACCAACCUUCUUUUUGGGGAGACUUCAAUGGGACAACACUGAUUUUUAGUGUUUGUCAGUUCAAAGCUAUGUUAUUUGGUCUCUUUCCAGCAAAACUCUUCUGUAGCUACAUUAACUGUGCUCACCUUGAGUGGAUGGGAAGCUGGUAAUCAGCUUCCACCUGGAGCAGCUUUCACCAGUCCUUAAAGCAGCCAGGCUGCUCUGGAACGUACCAAGAGUCCACUUUCCUGAGAUGUUAUGUGUCUAAACCUUCCCAUAAGGCUCAAAAUGCUUUCCAAGACAAAAUGUCUGGUUUUAUCUGCAAAAAUGAAUUCCCAGCAUGAACACACAGGUUGGUAGAACAGCAACAGUGUGAAGUAGCGAUUAAUUUAAAGGAGCAAUUAAGCUUUCAGAAAAAUGGAAGUAAUUUAAGAUUCCAGUUUCCAAACAGUUAAAGCACAAGCUCACCUUCAAGUGCACAAGGGUCCCAGCAGUGUUAACAGGACAAUUUGUGUGCCUGAAGCGCACAAGUGCAUGGUUCACAGGGCUGUACCAGUGUUUUUAAUGAGGCAGGAAGCAAGGAGCCAAAACCAUAUGGAGAAUAUGUGAAUGCUUGUGAUUGCUGUGGAAGGACUAAUUAUAUCCCCAUACCUCUCUCUGGUGUGAAGUAUGACACCAUGUUAGAUUUUUAAAGGAUUAAUUUGUAUGCAAUUACCGCCAAUGCAAUAAAUGGGAGACAGUUUAAAGAAAUAAAAAUCAUAGUUGCUAAACUUUGUUAUCAACAGCAUUUUGGCUGUAGCCAAGAAAAAGUACAAAAGAUUAUUCUAUUUCUGUAUGCCCAGUGCUAGUCACCAAGGUUAAAAAAUGUUGCUUUAAUGAAAACUUGUAAAAGCUGAGACUUAACUCUGUUGUGUGGUAGUUAGGAUGAUGUUGCAAAUGAGGUAUUUUGAGAUACAUAAUAGAUUACUUAAUCAAAUAGAUGAUUAAGCAAAACUGGGAAGAGAAAUGAGUUCAGAGAACCCUAAGGUGCAUUUGCAGGAGAAAACACUUUUCAGGUCUUCAUUGAGCAACAAAUAAACGAAAAUAACUUAUUAUAGAAAAGUAUAAUGUUUGGCAGGGGAAGGGGUUUUCUAAAUAACAUAAUGAAUCCAGUCUAGUACGUUGGAUUUCUUUACAAAUGCCCACACAGAGGCAAAAAGGGAGAACUCCUGCCCUGAUUCAUUUGAAUCCUUAGGAUUGUGUAACAUGAGACUAAAUUAAGUGAAUCUUGAUUUUUUUUCCUCCAACUCUACUGAAAUAUUCAAAAAACUAUACUAGGCUUUAGAAAGAAACUGAACAGAAAAAUUUGUGGUUUUUAAAUGUAUAGCAUGCAAUUUCUUAAUGAAGCCUUCCUCAACACAAGUAAAUAACAUAUAUAUUAACAUUACUUCAACUAAAAUAUUUAAAUGGUUUUCACCUGUGAGCACAGUGUGCUAGUGCCUUGUUUUAUAAAAGACAUUGAAGAAUGUGUAUUUAAAUAUUUGAGGUAAUGCCUUGAACAAGAUAUCUGUUCUUUGGUAACAAAAUUCUCUUGCUAAUUUGUUCUUUCUUCAUUGCAUAUAUAGUGCCCACGUUAGGAGUUCUUGUUUGGUUGGUUUUUAAUCCUUUCAGGGUAAGAAAGGAGAAUUUAUUUACAUACAUGUAUCACACAGUUUUCGACUGUUACAGCUUCUAUGUUAUUCACCAUAAACCAAAAUUUCUGUAAAAUUGCUUAUUUUAGCUGGGUUCUUAGCUGGAAAAUAUGAAACAUGCACUUUUACUAGACCACUGAGGUAGACUGGAGAUGAAUGGAACAUUCGAUGAGCACGUACAGAUGGAGCUUUACAGAAACAAGAGCAGCAACACGAAGCCAGAGCACAUUAGUAAUUUUAGCACCGUGAAUAAAAUCUGAUAUUCGGCUGGAAAUGGCAUAUCCCAAAUACUCAGUAAGUCUCAGAAAUAACUACUGACACGCUUCAACUUUGUACCAUCUACAUCUGUGUAGAUGGUACAAAGCUGUAGAUCUUUGUACAUCUACAUUUGUGUCCCCAACCAUUAGAAAUGCAAAUGCACACCUCUGUUCAGGUAGCUAAACAUGACCUAAAGAGGGUAAAAAAAUAAAAUCACUCUGAAGCAAAUCCUUGGUAAAGUGAGAAAGCUCACAAGGCAUCUCUCACUAUUUUCAUCCUGGCCAAGAAAAUCAAAAUUUUCAACUUCCUUAGCUGUACAUGAUAUUGUCUUCUCAUUUUGCCUUCAUCAUCUCAGCAUCACAGCUCAGUGACUGAGGAGGGGGUGGUACACCCAUCAGCACACAACGUAUUUGCACUUAGACUGUUCACACUUGUCUCCCCAAUGCAGAGACAUGUUCCAUGUAUUCAGCAGUCUCAAAAUCCCAUUACUUAUCACUCAUGUCAGCAGUCAAAGCUUUCCAUUAGAGGAAAUCUAACAUUUUGGUGACAAAAGAAGAACACUGUACGUGAUCUGCCCCCCAGGCCCCAGCAGUGGUGUGACAGGAUAUACAGCAGGGUAGAAAGAAGUAAUCGUUGUGAGAGCCUCACCCUGCCUGGAAAAGCCAUAGGGAAAGCAGGUCAAUGCACAACUUCAGUAAGAUUAUGGCACUGGUGUUCUUUAAAUUGCAGAUCAAGAGAGACACAAUCUCCAAAAUAUCUGAAUGUCUAAGAAUGUCUGUGGCUGCUUAACCAUUUUCUCAGAAGCUUUUGGCACGCGUUUCAUUGGACCCACAGGUGCAGUGCACUGCGAAAGGACUCUGCACUGAAUUUCUCCCUGGAGCUGGUGCCAUCCAAGCACUCUGCUGUAGCUUACAUUCUCUUUCAUGCUCACCCCUCCUGCCACCAGACUAGGCAAGACUUACAUUUACCCAAGUUCCUCAAUUCACAAUUACAGAAAGAGAUUCCAAAGCAUGAAAGAUGCAAUCCUUGAAACAGACAUAUUUAAGAUUGUAGAUUGACCUGGAGAGUCAGAGAGAACUACAGCUGACUCCUGCUUUUAAAAUGGAAAAGCACUAUUCAAAAAUUAAUGUAUUUACUCUCAACACCAUGUGAGGUAGUACUUUACAAAUGGAAAAACUGAGUACAGGAAUAUAGACAGAGUAAAGGAACACAAUACAGUGCAAAAUCAGGAACAAAAUGCAAGCUCUUUCAUCAAAGUUGAGUCUGGUGAGUGAAAUCAUGUUUACCUUUAGAAAGCCCUUGAAGAUAUUGAAUAAAACCAGAAGCAAGCUUUGAAAACACGCAGCACUUUGUACCAAAAUAUGCUAAGUAGCAUAACUUGCUAAAUAGUAUAUAAAACAGCUAGAACUAUGUAUAUUAGUACAAAUGAAGAAGUGAAAUCUAAAUGGAUUAAAGUAUUAGCACCCUACAGUAAGUUUAUUACAUUAUGUUUUAUCCUGAGGCAUGUGAUUCAGAGUAGCUAAACAAAAGUGCUUUUAUACCUUUUUUCCUCUUCCUAUUCACAAUUCCACCAUUACUCUGCCCCCACCCCAAAUCAUUCCUUUCCACAACCUCUUCCCAAUAUUUUAUAUUUGCUCAACAAAAUUUUAAGGUCUUUUACUCCUACUGUAUAAAUAACUCCAAGGUUAUUCGCACAGAGUUUCAUGAUGACAAAGUUAUGUUCCAAUUAAUCAGAUUAUUUUUAUAAAUCCAUGCUAAAAUAGGCCAAAAACCAGUACUGCCAGUUCAGAUCCAGUUUACUUGUGUUUUUUUGGGGGGAUUUAAGAAAACAUGUAGUAAUAUCAGAAAUGACAAAUUCAAGUCAGUCAAUACUGCCAUCCUAAUUACAAAGUGUAAUACUUUAGAAUCAUAAAAUCAAGAACCAUAGAAACAAAGAAAUAAAGUUUUUGUUGGUAACAGUUGUCUAAACAAAACAAAUUGUGCAGAAAAGGUACUACGUCUUCCAAGAAGACUUUGCUUGCUUUUAAUUUUUGUACUUGAACAAUCACUGCAGUCUUUUGUUACUCAGAAAAACUGUAUGAAUUAAUGAAAAUAAGCAAUAUUUUAUUUCAAUACCAGAUUUAUGGUUUUUGUGUUACACUGGGGCU